UUUUUUUUUUGAGACAGGGUCUUGCUCUGUCAUCCCGGCUGGAGUGCAGUGGUGCGAUCUCAGCUCACUGCAAACUCUGCCUCCAAGAUGCAAAUGAUUCUCGUGCCUCAGCCUCCCAAGUAGCUGGAAUUACAGGUGUGCACUACCAUGCCCAGCUGUUUUUUGUAGAGAUGGGGUUUCACCAUGGUCUCUACUAAACUCUGUCUCUACUAAAAAUACAAAAAUUACCCAGGCGUGGUGGCACAUGCCUGUAGUCCCAGCUACUCAAGAAGCUGAGGCAGGAGAAUCACUCGAACCUGGGAGGUGGAGGUUGCAGUGACCCAAAAUCAUGCACUCUAGCCUGGGGUCUCGCUUUUGCCCAGGUUAGAGUGCAGUGGCACAAUCAUAGUGGCUCACUGCAGCCUCAAACUCCUGGGCUGAAGGGAAUCCUCCCACCUCAGCCUCCCAAGUAGCUAGGACUAUAGGCAUGUGCCAUCAUGGCGAGUUAAUUUUUUGUGUGUUUUUAUUUUCUCGAGACAGAGUCUUGCUCUGUUGCUCAGGCUGGACUGCAAUGGCGUGAUCUUGGCUCACCGCAACCUCCACCUCCUGGGUUCAAGCGAUUCUCCUGCCUCAGCCUCCCGAGUUGCUGGGAUUACAGGUGCUGCCAUGGCCACGACUGUUGUUACACUCGAGCUGAGGAGGCCGGCUGCAGCCCCAAGACAGAGCGCUACUCCUGGCAGUGCGUCAAUCAGUGUCCUGUGCGGGCAGAAACAGCUGGGCUUAUAAACAGGCAUAGUCCUUUUGAAGGAUGCGGCUGAUCCUACAACAACACACUUUCCUAAGGAUGACAACAACUCACCCCACCCCUAGAAUAGCUGGUAUGAACCGAGUUUCCACACAGUCUAGCUGGCAAUGGGGUCAGGAGACCUUUUGCUGCUUCACAUCUUUUGGUCACUGGGUCUAAACAUUGUACAGAGGUUAAAAACAACACUCCAAUGGGCGUUUCCCAAGACGGUGGGGUUCAGUUUCUGAACUCACUUGUAG